rnacentral:lncRNA from 10 species
ACCCUGUUAGCCAGGAUUGUCUUGAUCUCCUGACCUUGUGAUCUGCCUGCCUCAGCCUCCCAAAGUGCUGGGAUUACAGGUGUGAGCCACCACACCAGGCCUGUCCUUAUUAAUUUUUAUGAUUGCUUGUGAAUGAAAGCCCAUCUUUUGGCUUUCCAUUUUUGCAUUUCUGAAUGUUACCAAAUUUCUCUAUCCUCUGGAUUUUCAUGGUAUUCUUUUUCAUUGUUCUCUUUUGGAACUAAUUACAUUCCAUCUUUAUUUAUUAUCAGGGUCAUUUUACCCUAAAUCUUUGCCUUUAGGGCCAUUAGCAUAGGACUGCAAAGUAAUAUGGUAGUAAGUCAUAGCUCCAAGUUUAUCAAAACUAUAACUGUCCACUGAUGAAAACAUUCCCCCAUUGAGAAUUAAGACCUGUACUUUGGCAGAACCUAAGUUCAAGGUAAUGGAAAAUGUAAAUCUACAAGUGGGUUGGUCAGUAAGAAUUAUACUGAGAGGCUAAUGAUAAUUUUCAUUCAUUGGUUCCAAAACUCAUGUGUUCUAGCCCUUGAGUAAAUACUUAUUAGCCACAGGUUCAAUGUGCACUUCACAUUCUGCAAGACAUUGUCCCUGAGCACGAUUGGAGCAUUUUCUAGGUCUGUCUCUUCAACCUCAUAUUCAUUAUUUAUCAAGUGUGAUGCAUGCUGUCUCCAAAACUUUUCUCACACUUGACUCCACUAAUACUGCUUUGUUUCAAGUCCUUUUCAUCUCCUGCUUGACUUUUGCAAUUGUUUUCUAACUGAUCCUUUUGCUUUUUCUCUUUCAUCCAUUUUCAGUGGUGUCAGUAAGCAUGAUCCAAAUGAAAUGGACCUCCUGCCCUAUUUCUAAACCUGCAUUUGGAACUGCUUCCUAUCCCUAUUUACUUUUUACUGUAUUACUCAUUACUCCACCUACAGCUUCAGCUGACUCUUCGAACUUGACCACUGGCACCACCUUUUGCUUACUUUGGCUGCAUUUUUCGAACUGUAUUUUAAAUCCUCCCUCUGGCAACACUGCCUUAAGCUAUCUUGGUCCAGUCUACACCAGGACUAGGACAAUGAGGUCUGGACUGGACUACUGUGGACAGUUCUCUUGCCAAAUAUGCCCUGGCCUGCCAAGAAAGACUUGGACUUUUCACCACUGAAAUGGCUGUUUGUUAUGCCAUGGAUGCUUUAUAUAUGCAGUCUCUGUCUAAAUGUCCUCCCUUGCUCCCUACUGGCAGGAUUACCAUUCAAGAAUCUGCUAAUGUAUUGCCUUCUCUAAUACAUCUCCCCUAGGCACAAUAAAAGUAUUCAUGCAUUCUUAUAAUACUUGACACAUAGCAGUCAUAGUACCAUUACUCUCAAUGGCAAAACUGCAAUUACUUUUGCACCACCUAAUAAGAUUUGUAAAUGUUUAUUACAUGCUGGUCUGUGUUAAUCACAGGUAUUUCACUGGCAUAUGUGAAUCAGUCAGCUCCCAAACUCUGGACUUCUUAAGGGGGGAAAUCUAUUCUCUUUUCCUUCAAUGUCUUUCCUUCAUUGUAGCCCAAUUCAAGGCCAUAUAAUUAGUGUUCAUAAACACUGAACUAAAUUAAAUCAAAUUGUUUGAGAUAUACUCAGUUUACCAUCUUUUCUUAGACAUAGUUAACAAAACAGUAAUUUUUCCAUAUUAUGCCACUUAACACAUUCAAAUUUCAAACUUAAUUCUUGCCUGAGUCAUUCUUCCAGAUGACUGGGUUCAGUCAUGCAUAGCAAUUCAAUUUACCCUGAUUUUAACCUCUUGUUACAAUAAUGGCUUCCAGGUCAACAGAAAGGACUUUAAAAGCUAUUCCAGUAAGGAUUGGUGAAGGUGAAGGGAGAGGAGAACAGGCAAUAGCCCAAUCAUGUUUGGUACAUGGCAUGUUUGCUGUACUUUCUGUCGUGUGUGUGAGGAGCUCUGUUUAACUGACUUGAGGACUGAAGUACUGAACAAGCAAAGAAUUGCUCAACUCCCUAGGUAGGUGGGUCUCAGUCAGUAUUGAACAGGCAACCCUGUCAUUUCAGUGUGAUCUGUACUUGUUGGGAAAUUGCUGUAUGGUGUAUGUACAACGUCUUUGCUGCUCACCAAGGUUGAAAACAUUUAGUAGUCCACCCAUGGGAAACUGAGAGUCUGUCUAGCCUCCAGCCAUUGAAGCUUGAAACAAAUUAAGUUCCCAUCUCUCUCCUGGCUAUUUGGGUUUGAACAAUCUCUAAAGUGGUCUAGUAAACAGGCAGACAAGACUCCACUUGAGAUGUAACCCUGUGUAUAACCUAAAGCUAAGGAAAGUUUAUGGAAUCAACAGGCUGGGGCAUGUUAGCUCUAUAGUGAAAAAUCAAAGAAUUGCAAUUUAGAGGUAGGGGUAGGGCAAGCCUGUGCUGUUGAAUAAAAAUGAAUGCAAUGUGUUUUGUUUUUUCAACAUGUCUCAAUGUGAGAAGGAGGUCAGAAAAGCUAUGGGAGUGUUCAGAAAGUGAUCUGUGUCACUGAAGUGUGGCAAUGGGCCUGUGUAAAUUAAAGAUCUAAGCCAAUGUGGAAAACACAUUUUCAGCAGUAAAUAAUGUCAUUUAAGGAGACUGAUUGCCAAAGCAGCCUCAUUGCCUAAUGGGGGCCUAGUCUUUCAUUCAACAAAUAUUUACUGCCUGGCCCUGGAGCUGGCACUGCAGUGCAUUGGUAAGCAAUAAC